rnacentral:rRNA from 1 species
UCCUACGGGAGGCAGCAGUGAGGAAUAUUGCGCAAUGGGCGAAAGCCUGACGCAGCGACGCCGCGUGGGGGAUGAAGGUCUUCGGAUUGUAAACCCCUUUCGGGAGGGAAGACGGCCUUAGACAACUAAGGCGGACGGUACCUCCAGAAGCAGCCACGGCUAACUUCGUGCCAGCAGCCGCGGUAAUACGAAGGUGGCAAGUGUUGUUCGGAUUUACUGGGCGUAAAGUGAGCGUAGGUGGUUAGGUAAGCCCUCCGGGAAAUCUUCAGGCUUAACCUGAAAAGGUCGGGGGGGACUGCCUGGCUAGAGGACGGGAGAGGAGCGCGGAAUUCCCGGUGUAGCGGUGAAAUGCGUAGAGAUCGGGAGGAAGGCCGGUGGCGAAGGCGGCGCUCUGGAACGUUUCUGACACUGAGGCUCGAAAGCGUGGGGAGCAAACAGGAUUAGAUACCCUGGUAGUCCACGCCCUAAACUAUGGACACUAAGUGCCGGCGGGUUACCGUCGGUGCCGCAGCUAACGCAUUAAGUGUCCCGCCUGGGGAGUACGGCCGCANGGUUGAAACUCAAAGGAAUUGACGGA